CGUUCCAAUGCUUCAUUCAUUGUUUCUGCAGAUGGUUGUAAUGAUUAAAGAGUCUCUCUAAACAAAACUUUUCAUUUAUUCUGUGACUAUCCUUUUUGCUACCUUCAUCCACCAAAGUCUCAAUCUGGUUUUCUCGGACGCUCCGACGCCAACAGUUGCUCCGCAUACUCUGGAACAUUCCCCAUCAAGUACAGUGAUUCAUUUCUUUUGAAUGAUUCUUUGGCUAAAACAUGUGCUAAACUAUUUGCAUUUCUGUCCCCCCAGAUAGCCCACAGCGCAACUCCCACCGAACGCCUCUGCUUGAUUGAACAUACUUCAAAAAUCCAGGUGAGCCAAUUAAAGAAAUCUAACUCCAAUCUAUUCAGAAAAUGCGCAACACCAAAAAUUGACCAAACCUCGAUUGAAACAGAACAGCCUCGAAAUAUAUGAUCCAUAGACUCCGCUGCUUAAUUUCAUCGUGGACAAGAUGCAUUAGCCAUCAGUUUCAUCUUAUGCAAAUUAACUAGAUUAGGGGUGUAAUGCCAUGAAAUUAUCCACAUUGUAACCAAUAGCUUAGAAGGUAAGUUGAUGCUUCACGAUUGUUUGCAAAAGUUCCUAUAGUUUCUCUGUAAAGCAUAAGCAUUAGGACUACCUGGAAAGUUUUGUAAUAGUUUGUAGACACUACGCACUGAGAACUCUCCUGAGGGUUCCCCCGCCAUACCAGCAUUUCAUCGACCUCAGUCAUCGCUAAGGGAAUUCAGAGAAUUCUUUUCGCAUUCACUGCCGGGAAGAUAUUCACUAUUAACUCCCUUUUCCAAUUUUUAUUGUUUGCAUCUAUUAACUCUGCAACUUUACAAUUAUGCAAACUUUGAACAAUAUUUGACAAUUUGUAAUCAUCUGCCCCUGGGAUCAACGCAUUCUUGUUAAUGAAAAUAUUUUUACUCGACCUCACUCUCCAACCUAGCCCUUCACAUAAUACUCCCUUCGAAGCCCAGAUACUUUUCCAAGUGUAAGAUGGCAUAUUUCCUAAAUUUACAUUAACAAAAUCAGAAUUGGGAAAGUACUUAGCUUUAAGGACGCACACAAGUAAAGAAUUCAAAAAAAUUAUAAGCCUCCAGCCCUGCUUUGUUAACAAAGCAAUAUUAAAUUUGCC
rnacentral:lncRNA from 1 species